rnacentral:tRNA from 1 species
GGUGCUGUGGCUUAGUGGGUAAAGCUGCUGCCUGCAGUGCCGGCAUCCCACAUGAGCGCUGGUUCAAGUCCCGGCUGCUCCA